UGGGGAAUUUUGGACAAUGGGCGAAAGCCUGAUCCAGCAAUGCCGCGUGUGUGAAGAAGGCCUUCGGGUUGUAAAGCACUUUUGUCCGGAAAGAAAUCCUUGGCUCUAAUACAGUCGGGGGAUGACGGUACCGGAAGAAUAAGCACCGGCUAACUACGUGCCAGCAGCCGCGGUAAUACGUAGGGUGCAAGCGUUAAUCGGAAUUACUGGGCGUAAAGCGUGCGCAGGCGGUUUGCUAAGACCGAUGUGAAAUCCCCGGGCUCAACCUGGGAACUGCAUUGGUGACUGGCAGGCUAGAGUAUGGCAGAGGGGGGUAGAAUUCCACGUGUAGCAGUGAAAAUGCGUAGAGAUGUGGAGGAAUACCGAUGGCGAAAGGCAGCCCCCUGGGCCAAAUACUGACGCUCAUGCACGAAAAGCGUGGGGGAGCAAAACAGGAUUAGAUACCCCUGGUAGUCCACGCCCUAAAACGAUGUCAACUAGUUGUU
rnacentral:rRNA from 1 species